GACGAACGCUGGCGGCGUGCCUAAUACAUGCAAGUGGGACGCAAGGACACACACUGUGCUUGCACACCGUGUUUUCUUGAGUCGCGAACGGGUGAGUAACGCGUAGGUAACCUGCCUAUUAGCGGGGGAUAACUGUUGGAAACGAUAGCUAAUACCGCAUAAUAUUAAUUAUUGCAUGAUAAUUGAUUGAAAGAUGCAAGCGCAUCACUAGUAGAUGGACCUGCGUUGUAUUAGCUAGUUGGUAAGGUAAGAGCUUACCAAGGCGACGAUACAUAGCCGACCUGAGAGGGUGAUCGGCCACACUGGGACUGAGACACGGCCCAGACUCCUACGGGAGGCAGCAGUAGGGAAUCUUCGGCAAUGGACGAAAGUCUGACCGAGCAACGCCGCGUGAGUGAAGAAGGUUUUCGGAUCGUAAAGCUCUGUUGUAAGUCAAGAACGUGUGUGAGAGUGGAAAGUUCACACAGUGACGGUAGCUUACCAGAAAGGGACGGCUAACUACGUG
rnacentral:rRNA from 1 species